CAAGGAAUGGUACAGUGACGUCUGAAGGAGAAUGGAAGGGGUCAUUCCUUGCCGGUCACAGGUGAAGAAGUGGAAGAUCACCUGGUCUCUAAACCUGGGGUUGCUGCCAUCUUCUGGAGGCUGCCCACAUUCCAGGGUUGCAGAGCCUCUCCUCCGUCGUCCCUGCCAGCAAAUGCGGAUGAGUCCUCCUCACGCUUGAAUCUCCGGCCUGCUUUUGCCGAGUGUCGCCUAGGCCCCUCUUUUUCUGUUGCGUGUCUCUAACUGACACCCCAUCCUCCUCUGCUGCUUUUAAACGACAAUGACCACAUCAAUUACAACUAAACCACAGAACAACCAUCAUUGAGAAUCACCUGCAGUCUAGCUAAACCGAAGCUCUAUAACUACGGACAUACAGAAGAAGCCAUCUCGAGACUGGCAAGAGGGGCACAGACAUGGAACGGGCUGGUCCUACACCCAUGCACGACCAUUAAAAAUCAGGAGGGAUGUUUCGAUUGUGGAGAUUCCCCUCCUGAGGAGCAAGGGGUCCAAGUCCCUCCCCAGCUCAGGGUUUCAGUGCCAGGGAGAGAAGUCCCCUUAACUUCUGGCUGUGAAAUCCAGCAGAGAUUGUGACUGAGAGGAGGUAGGGGGUGGGCAGAGGUGCUACACUCCUAGACGCUGCUCUUAAAAGGACCGCGCAUGGACUUACUCACUGAUGGACUCACUUGCUCUGAGCUCCAGUGCUGGGGCAGCAGCUGGAAAGGCACCAGGGACAUACAUGGAGGAACUGAGUUGCCUGGCUCCAGUUUGAGGGCGAGAGGGGAAGCUUUCUCCCAGAUGGAGGAGCUGGCCAGAGCCACAGUUUCAUUGUUGAACCGUCCCCUUCCCUGCAUGCAGGCACAAGUGGCCGCCAUAUCUGAGUCUCCUGCCUCGCCUCCCCAGUGAUUCCCUGAGGCCACCCCCCCACCCAACUUUCAGGCAUACUCAAGCUGCUUCCAGUGGCUUUUCCGUGUAAACGGCCUGCCUGGGU